rnacentral:rRNA from 1 species
AUGAACAAGAAUCUUGGUAAGAGAACUGCUGAAGCUUGUGGAAAUGAUCCUCAGCGCAAGCGACUACAUGCGAGGGAUGUUCAUACUGGUAGACGCAAAGACUGUGGUCCAUCUAAGAGUCUACCCAAGCGUGCCCAUGAUGAUGGCAAUGAAUGUGUUGGUGCUGACUCUGGCGAGGAGGCGGAUCUUGUUCCAAAGAGGAAGAAGUCUAGUAAGAGCAAUGCAACUAAAGAUUAUGCCGAGGGAGAUGAUUCUCGAUUUAACAAGACCGUACAUUUGUCGCUUCCCAUUGUUUGCAAGGCUGCUGCUUUAUUGAAAGCCGCACACUGUAGUCGUGUUCAGGAUGUUGGAUUCGGUGUUGUCUUUGAACUGACAGUAAAGAAAAUGUGUCGCGCAUUCUUAUGUGCUAUCUGA